UUAAGCAUAUCAAUAAGCGGAGGAAAAGAAACCAACAGGGAUUGCCCUAGUAACGGCGAGUGAAGCGGCAACAGCUCAAAUUUGAAAUCUGGAUUCCUUUACUGGGUCCCGAGUUGUAAUUUGUAGAGGGUGCUUUGGUGUUGGCGGCGGUCUAAGUUCCUUGGAACAGGACGUCACAGAGGGUGAGAAUCCCGUACGUGGUCGCACUGCCUUCGCCGUGUAAAGCCCCUUCGACGAGUCGAGUUGUUUGGGAAUGCAGCUCUAAAUGGGAGGUAAAUUUCUUCUAAAGCUAAAUACUGGCCAGAGACCGAUAGCGCACAAGUAGAGUGAUCGAAAGAUGAAAAGCACUUUGGAAAGAGAGUCAAAUAGCACGUGAAAUUGUUGAAAGGGAAGCGCUUGCAGCCAGACUUGCCUGCGGUUGCUCAGCCGGGCCCCGCGCCCGGUGCACUCUUCCGCGGGCAGGCCAGCAUCAGUUUGGGCGGCUGGAGAAUGGCCUCUGUCAUGUACUGCCCUUCGGGGUAGCCUUAUAGGGGAGUCGUAAUGCAGUCAGCCUGGACUGAGGUCCGCGCUUCGGCGAGGAUGCUGGCGUAAUGGCCGUAAGCGGCCCGUCUUG
rnacentral:rRNA from 1 species